GAUGAACGCUGGCGGCGUGCCUAAUACAUGCAAGUCGAGCGAACAGACGAGGAGCUUGCUCCUCUGACGUUAGCGGCGGACGGGUGAGUAACACGUGGAUAACCUACCUAUAAGACUGGGAUAACUUCGGGAAACCGGAGCUAAUACCGGAUAAUAUAUUGAACCGCAUGGUUCAAUAGUGAAAGACGGUUUUGCUGUCACUUAUAGAUGGAUCCGCGCCGCAUUAGCUAGUUGGUAAGGUAACGGCUUACCAAGGCAACGAUGCGUAGCCGACCUGAGAGGGGGGUCGGCGACACUGGGAAGGAGAGACGGUGGGGACUCCUACGGGAGGCAGCAGUAGGGAAUGGACCGACAGGGGCGAAAGCCGGACGGAGCAACGACGAGUAAGUGAUGAAGGUGUUGGGAUAGUAAUACGCUGUUAAUAGGGAAGAACAAAUGUGUAAGUAACUAGGAACGUACUGACGGUACCGAAUCAGAAAGCCAGGGAUAACGACGGG
rnacentral:rRNA from 1 species